rnacentral:misc_RNA from 1 species
UGGACCUGUUUCUGCCGGUAGAUCCCCCGACUUUUUUUACGGCCGACUAUUGGCGCCUUGUCCUGGCGGUUUUGUGGCUUUUGUUAGUGUUGCCUUUUGCCGUGUGUGCAUGCUUGUACCUUAAUCAUGGGGGUAGUGGUGCUUAAAUUUGGUUGCCACGCGGUGGACGCCUCUGGGUGUUCUGCUGCGGCCAAACUGCGAUUGCGGUGUUUCCUUGUUUUUCCGGCGCGUUUACUCGGCUGGUGCUAACAAGCCAACCUCGCUACGCUUGUGGUCUCGGAUGUUGCCUACGUUGAAAUCUCUUGGCCCAUUUCGGUUGCCUUGACCCGACCCUAGGAGCUCUCCGAAUUGACUACUUCCGGAAUAGGUGUUGCCUCUACCUACCACUAGCCCUGGUAUUGCGGAUAUGCAACAUUUGCGCCGGUCGUGACUUUAGUAGGAAAGAGCUUAGCCCUCUACGACAACCAGCCCGGCCGACAACCCCGUCUAGACACGCAAGUGGAUGGGCGGAUAAACACCGAGUUGGACCA